rnacentral:lncRNA from 1 species
CCCAGGGUGUUAACCGGUUAACACUGUUAUGAAUUAUGAAAAAUUGCUGUCUGUCUUGCGUUAACCGGUUAACCCAGGGCGUUAACCGGUUAACACUGUUAAAAUGUGCCAGGAAGCGUGUUCUGUGUUGCGUUAACCGGUUAACCCAGGGCGUUAACCGGUUAACACUGUUGGAAAAGUGAAAAAUUGAUAUUUAAAUAUUGUGGACAUAUUUGAUGAUUGGCCUAUAUUGGUGUAUGAUAUA